GAGAAGCUUGCGUCUGAUUAGCUUGUUGGUGAGGUAAAAGCUUACCAAGGCGACGAUCAGUAUCUGGUUUGAGAGGACGAUCAGACACACUGGAACUGAGACACGGUCCAGACUCCUACGGGAGGCAGCAGUAGGGAAUUUUCCGCAAUGGGCGAAAGCCUGACGGAGCACUACCGCGUGAGUGGAUGACUGCCUAUGGGUUGUAAACCUCUUUUUUCAGGGAGGAAUAAAUGACGUGUACCUGAAGAAUAAGCAUCGGCUAACUCCGUGCCAGCAGCCGCGGUAAGACGGAGGAUGCAAGUGUUAUCCGGAAUCACUGGGCGUAAAGCGUCUGUAGGUGGCCAAAUAAGUCAACUGUUAAAUCUUGAGGCUUAACCUCAAAAUCGCAGUCGAAACUAUUAGGCUAGAGUAUAGUAGGGGUAAAGGGAAUUUCCAGUGGAGCGGUGAAACGCGUAGAGAUUGGAAAGCACACCGAUGGCGAAGGCACUUAGCUGGGCUAUUACAAACACUCAGAGACGAAAGCUAGGGUAGCAAAUGGGAUGAGAUACCCCAGUAGUCCUAGCUGAAAACGAUGGGUACUAGAUGUUGAACAGAUCGACCUGUGCAGUAUCAAAGCUGACGCGUUAAGUAUCCCGCCUGGGAAGUAUGCU
rnacentral:rRNA from 1 species